rnacentral:lncRNA from 1 species
GGAACAGACUCGAAAGGAGAGAGUGCCCUUCCCGUGGGUGCAGUCAGAAACAAUGUCUCCCAGCUCUUAGCAGAGCAGGUUUUCUAGAGUCAUAGUUCUAAUCGUUGUGGACUGACCUGUGUCCCAAACACUCAAGCUGAAAGUCUAGCCCCUGGUACCUUGAAAGGUCAUUUGAACACAGAGAGACACCAGGGAUUGUUAUGAGAAGAUGAAAGUCCCUAGGAAGACACAAGGAGAAGACAAUUGUAUACAAGCCAACGGGGAAAGAGCGGACGAGGAACCAGACCUUCCGCACCUUGAUAUUGGACCCACUGCUUCUGGAGCUGUGAGAGAGAACACUCUCUUGAAUAUCUAGUAACCUGGCAAGAGAAAACUCUGGACCAUGGCUAGGACUUGGUACCUGUCAGUCUUCCUGGAGGACGCUCUGGCUGAGCCUUUCACUGCAGGAACAUGGAGCCUAUUUCUGAGGUAGUCAGAGGCCUGGGGAACACAACUCUUCAUCUCUUGCAUGGAGGAGGGAACCCUGAUGGCCAGCCGUCUGGGUCUGAGGUGAAGAGUUUGGGCUCUUGACAUGGAGUGUGGAUAUGUUCACCCAGUCCUCUUUGGGGUGUAAAUAAGCCACCUUUCAUGGGGCUAUGUGUUCAGGACCUUGUGUCGUCUGCUCUCUAGAGAUCAAAUCAUUAGCUUUUUGAAAAGGCUAGGGGAGUUUUUUUCCCCCCUGGGCUGGGUUAGGGAGGGGACCUGGAUACUUACUGAAGACCUCUGUGUGGACUCUCAGCCCACCGCCUUCUUGCAGUGGCUU